rnacentral:rRNA from 1 species
AUUGAACGCUGGCGGCAGGCCUAACACAUGCAAGUCGAACGAGUGGCGGACGGGUGAGUAAUUUCUGGGAAACUGCCUGAUGGAGGGGGAUAACUACUGGAAACGGUAGCUAAUACCGCAUACCAUCGGAUGUGCCCAGAUGGGAUUAGCGAGUAGGGGGCGUAAAGGCUCACCUAGGCGAAGAUCCCUAGCUGGUCUGAGAGGAUGACCAGCCAAACUGGAACUGAGACACGGGCCAGACUCCUACGUGAGGCAGCAGGGGGGAAUAUUGCACAAUGGGCGCAAGCCUGAUGUAGCCAUGCCGCGUGUAUGAAGAAGGCCUUCGGGUUGUAAAGUACUUUCAGCGGGGAGGCGUUACCCGCAGAAGAAGCACCGGCUAACUCCGUGCCAGCAGCCGCGGUAAUUC